rnacentral:lncRNA from 1 species
AGAAUGGAAAGGGCACUAGAAGGAAUUAAUAUCGGGUUUACUCUCUCAUGCAAGCAGGCGGGCAAAAUAGUAGAGCAGCAGCUUCCAGGUUUGUUUUAUGCAGACGACAUUAUGUUGCUUGCUAACAGGCAAAGGGAUAUAUAACAAAUGUG